AACCUAGCACACCUGCGGUGUGUACCUGCGGAAGGAUCAUUACCGAGUUAUACAACUCAUCAACCCUGUGAACAUACCUAAAACGUUGCCUCGGCGGGAACAGACGGCCCCGUAACACGGGCCGCCCCCGCCAGAGGACCCCCUAACUCUGUUUCUAUAAUGUUUUUUCUGAGUAAACAAGCAAAUAAAUCAAAACUUUUAGCAACGGAUCU
rnacentral:misc_RNA from 1 species